AUACGUAGGGAGCGAGCGUUGUCCGGAAUUACUGGGCGUAAAGGGCGCGUAGGCGGCGCUUCAAGUCGUCUGUCAAAUGGGAGGGCUUAACCCUUUUUCGCAGACGAAACUGGAGAGCUUGAGAAGCAGAGAGGCAAACAGAAUUCCUGGUGUAGCGGUGAAAUGCGUAGAUAUCAGGAAGAAUACCAGUGGCGAAGGCGGUUUGCUGGCUGCAUACUGACGCUGAAGCGCGAAAGCCAGGGGAGCAAACGGGAUUAGAUACCCUGGUAGUCCACGCUGUAAACGAUGUCGAUUUGGAGUCUGUGACCAUGAGUCGUGGGCUCCGGAGCUAACGCGUUAAAUCGACCGCCUGGGGAGUACGGCCGCAAGGUUAAAACUCAAAUGAAUUGACGGGG
rnacentral:rRNA from 1 species